rnacentral:rRNA from 1 species
GGCGAACGCUGGCGGCGUGCUUAACACAUGCGAGUCGAACGGAAAGGCCCUGCUUUUGUGGGGUGCUCGAGUGGCGAACGGGUGAGUAACACGUGAGUAACCUGCCCUUGACUUUGGGAUAACUUCAGGAAACUGGGGCUAAUACCGGAUAGGAGCUCCUGCUGCAUGGUGGGGGUUGGAAAGUUUCGGCGGUUGGGGAUGGACUCGCGGCUUAUCAGCUUGUUGGUGGGGUAGUGGCUUACCAAGGCUUUGACGGGUAGCCGGCCUGAGAGGGUGACCGGCCACAUUGGGACUGAGAUACGGCCCAGACUCCUACGGGAGGCAGCAGUGGGGAAUAUUGCACAAUGGGCGGAAGCCUGAUGCAGCAACGCCGCGUGCGGGAUGACGGCCUUCGGGUUGUAAACCGCUUUCGCCUGUGACGAAGCGUGAGUGACGGUAAUGGGUAAAGAAGCACCGGCUAACUACGUG